GACGAACGCUGGCGGCGUGCUUAACACAUGCAAGUCGAACGGAAAGGCCCUGCUUUUUUGGGGGGCUCGAGUGGCGAACGGGUUAGUAACACGUGAGUAACCUGCCCUUUACUUUGGGAUAACUUCAUGAAACUGGGGCUAAUACCGGAUAGGAGCUCCUGCUGCAUGGGGGGGGGUGGAAAGUUUCGGCGGUUGGGGAUGGACUCGCGGCUGAUCAGCUUGUUUGUGGGGGAGUGGCUUACCAAGGCCUUGACGGGUAGCCGGCCUGAGAGGGUGACCGGCAAACUUGGGACUGACAUACGGCCCAGACUACUACGGGAGGCAGCGGUGGGGAAUAUUGCACAACGGGCGGAAGCCUGAUGCAGCAACGCCGCGUGCGGGAUGAAGGCCUUCGGGUUGUAAACAGAUUUCGCAUGUGACGAAGCGAGAGUGACGGUAAUGGGUAAAGAAGCCCCGGCUAACUACGUG
rnacentral:rRNA from 1 species